GUGAUACUAUUUUGAGGUGGUCUUUUAAUUACAAGUUUAGUUUAUGGCUCAGCUUUAGUGACAAAGUCCUGAUUCUGGAGUCUUUUCAUGCAUUAAAUUUCAAACCUGAAAAACAAGUUCUUCCUGAGGGUAGGAAGUAAUAUGUAGGUACAAGGGGUUAAUCUGGGCUCAACUGGUUCCUUCUCUUGCAUGGAUGCUUUGACAAACAGGUCUCUGAUCCAGGAGCCAUAGGAUUUGAGUUUAACCUAUUAAGUAGGCCACCUUGUAUAAAGCCCUUAAGUAAUGACAUACGUCUACCUUGCUGUACAGACUUUGUUCCUCCUAGUCUCCCACCCUCUCCAACUUUAUUGUUCGGCAGGGCUGGAUGUUUUUAAGUGUGUAUAGAAGCACCUAUUUUUUUUUCCUUAGAGGAGCUGCCUUAUGUGCAAAAGUGAAGCCAAAUCAAGAAAGUUAUGAGAAAAGUCUAAAUUCAAGUGAGACUUCUCUCAGAGUGGGAGAAAAUUAUUAAGUCAUUAAAAUCUGAUGAGUAGCUUCUGUCUUGUUAAGGUUCACAGCUCCCAAGAGACAGAGCUCCAAUUGCAAUUUGCAACUAGGCUAGUUUAUAGAAGACUUAGGAGAUACUGGGGCAAAAUGGGACUAGGCACUGACCUGUCAGUGUAUAAUUUAAUACCCGUUGUUUUGUUUCCAAGAAGACUAGAAAGCUGCCCCCUCCCCCCUUUGUUUUAUCAGGGAGAUGCGGUAUCAAUGGUAAACUUCUGUUCAAAAUGGGUAAAGCAGGAGCUCUGCCAACUGAUGCUGUCUCUGGAGAGGUACAUAUCAGCUCCUAAGAUGGGAGAAGAGAUACUGAUUACUGGUCAGGUUGUGAAGCAAGGAAGAAGAAUUGCUUUCACCACCGCAGAUUUAACAAACAAAGCAACAGGAAAGAUAGUAGCACAAGGCAGACACACAAAGUACCUGGGACCUUAGUAGAAGGAAAUGAUCUGUAGAGAGAGAAAGCUUUGCCUUAAGAAAUCCAGUCUUCUGUUUUAAGGUAUAACUGAAGGCUAUUAGAUGGCCUAUAUUAAAUGGGUUUGGUCUCAGAUCCGGUACUAAUUGGCACUAAUUUUCAGCUAAUUGUAGUCCUUGACUACUCUGCCUGAAAGCUGGAGUUUGAUCUGCCAUUUUUGUGUCUGAAGAGAAUAAAGCAAAUCUUUCAAA